rnacentral:lncRNA from 1 species
AAAGCCACAAAGGAAAGAGAGAAAGAGAGUGUUCGGACAGCAGCAAGAGGGAGAGAAAAAGUAAGAAAAAUUUAUCAACUAAGGAGGAAAAGCAAGGAUAUCCAAGCCAAAAGAGACAACCUACACACACUAGGUAUAAACCCUAACCUUUUAAAGAUUAAAAAUCUUUCUUUGAUGAAAGUAAAUAGGUUUUAUGUAUACUUGAGAUCGUAUUAAACAUAUAUAUUGUUAGGAAUGAUUAUGCCUUAUAUAUUUAGAUUUGAUGAUGUGAGUAUAAUGUAUAAUUGUUUCAGUAGCUUGUGUAAAAUCCUUAUCUGAGAAAUCUAUGUACAAUAACUUGUUAGGUUGAUCCUUUGAGUUGAUUCAAUGAAUAUGUAAUAGGAUCAAAUCAAUUGUAUAGUCUUAUUGAACUAUUGUAGAGUUACUCUACCAUUUUUUAUAGUUUAUAAGUGUUCGUAGAUUUAACUUAAAUUUUAUAGAGCAGAAGUUGAUGUUAUAAAGUUACAAAGAGACAUCAAGAUUGUAGAACUGUGUUCAACAUCGUAGAGCUACUUGAGUAUUCUGAGAAGUUUGCAUGUUUGUCCAAGCAUCAUGAAGUACUAUUUCGUAGAGCAAAAAGUAGAACAUCAUUAAGUAGGAAGCAGAGCUCAAAUCUAUGUUCCUCAUCACUUUACCAACAAUCAAUUUCGUAGAGCAUGUCAGAACUGACUUCAAACUGACAAUUUCAGAGGGUCUCCGAGCAACUUCCAAGAUACUUCUAACCAUAUUCAAAUUCAUAUCAGAAGAUCCAAGAGUGGUUAGUCUAAAUCGCUAGAUAGAAGAUGUGACACCAUUAAUAUGUGGUAGGUGAGACUGUUGCAUGAUGUGACUUGGCCAGAGCCGAAAGCAAGCCUAGUAGCAAGUCUAUAAGUCUACAUUAGAGAACAUUUAGAGCAGAGCAUUAAAUGUACAAAUGGGAACUCUCCAACGGGAUAAUUUUUAAAGGUCUAAAAAAUCGUAAUGGAUUCAAAUCCAAGUACGAAUCACACAAUAAAAAGUAGAACCUAUGUCAAAAUAUCAAAAGCUCUACUCUACAAUUCAGAACGACUUAUUCAAAGUUGCUAAGUACCUAAAGAGAUCGAGUCUCAUUGCAAAGCUUAGCAGAACCUCAACCAAUCAUCAAUCAGUUAUGAUUCAACUUGAUCUCAGUGACCAUUAUAUUGAGACUAAGUUACUCGAAGGAAUCUAAGUGAUUUUGAGGACUAUAUGUGUCAAUGUCGGGAUUUUUACUGUCCCUUUUUUGUUGUUGUCUUUUGGUGUUCUCAUGUUAGGUGAGAUUUAUUUGAAAAAUCAAGUUGUGAAAAGGUCCGACAUGUAUAUGUCGACAAUUGGAUUGUAAGAGUCGCCAGUUGGUAUUUUUAAAUGGUUGUACCAACUCAACCAAGAAAAGGUUUGCACAUUAACCCAGUGAAAUCGAGAUUCGUUAAGGUCCGGG